rnacentral:lncRNA from 1 species
AUUAGUACCUAGACUAAGUGUGCAUGGCUAUGGAUGCCACGUGCACUCCCCCAUGCAUGCUUAUCUGGUUGAGGGUGGCUCUAAUUAAUUUAGUUUUUGCUUUCUCUCUUUAGUGUGAAGUAGAGAACCACACGAGGUGGAGCUUGGGGGAGUAGCCGUGGAUCUCGGAUUCAACGUCGACAUCGCGCCGCGGAGCCGUUCGAGGAUACGGUUGCAGUCGUAGCAUCGCGAGGAGUCCGGGCGAGGGCGUGGUUUCGCCGUUCUCGACGUCGCCCCGCGUUGGAUUUAGCAUACGAGGUGGGUUUAUCAUCGGAAUCCUACUCCUAUAAUAUUGUUCAUCGACAUGUAUCGUUAAUAUUACAAGUUGUUAUUGUUUGUUUAGCUCAAAUUCAUAAGUAGGUAUGUUUUAGACAUAUAAACUGAAUUGGGAGCAUGUUAUUAGUUGUUAUUAAUCAUACAUGUGGGACUUGGAUAAAACAUAGGAGAAAAUCAGCGUUCGGAAUCUGGCAUAUGUUGAAUUACCUGAUUUAGCCUUAGGGGCCGUUGUAUUUUUAUACAGUUAUUGUAUUCGGGUUGUGAGUACCCCAGGUAGUUUAGAAGGCAUUUACGCUCGUGCUGAGAUGCCGAGCUUAUUUUUCAGCAGAGUUUAGGCUGUUUCGGGUCGUUGGGUGCCGUUCGGGUUAGCGGUGGACCCAGAUUCUUGUUUUGGUCACAGAUUGUGCCGAGGGCACGUGGGUUUGGUUUGUAGACCUGUUUUGACCCUGUUUACUUGACUUUGGCUAGUUGGAGCCUGUUUGAGCUCGACAGAGAUACGCUGCAUACUCGGUUGGGUAGCGCCCACGAGUGCCACUCCGGAGUCAGGCUUUGUGCUUUCGCGUUGGUGUCGCUCAUGCCAGUUGGACUUGCUCUCCACGGACCAGUUAGUGUGGAUAGAGCUUGACAGUCACAACGGGGCAGGGACGGGUGUAUUCACAGUCCCGGGGACGGGUAUGCUUACAGUCCCGAUUGGAUUGGGUCAGGUUGGACAUUUCCUACAGUUGGUUAGUGUAGAGCAUGAUAGUGUAGUAUUUGAUAGCGGUAGACUUUAUUCCUGCAUUUCACUACUAUUCUUGCUCCCUUCUGUAGACUUAGUGGGUAGACCGAUGUUGUUUUGGGCGGUACCCACUGAGGACUACUUGUUUUUACAGUAGUUCUCACGCCCAGUUGUUACCUAUGUUUUUGCAGAGCCACAGGUUCCGGCUGCUGCACCGUCCGCGGAUCAGGAUCGAGGCAAGGGCGUUGCGAGUUAGAGCCCUACCCGACGUGCUGAGCUAGAGGUGCUCCUACUGCAGGUAGAUGUUUUGUUUCGAGUUUAUGUACAUAGUGGACUUAACUCGCCAGUGCGAGUAGCUUUGUAUUUUGGAUCUGGACUAUGUAUAUGAAACUCAGUUUGUUUAGCUUCUGUUCUCUCCAGCAGCUCUCUACUACUGUUCGUGGUAGUGUUUGAUUUUCUGGUACAGCUAUCGCUUCGUAUACAGGGAAAAUUCCUUUGUAUACGGCGGAUUUGUCGGCGCGCCCGGGGAAAGUGUAAUCCGGGGCGUGACAGAUUAAUUUGGUAUCAGAGCUUAGCUAUAGGUCGUUGGGACCUAGAAAACCUAAGUUUGGCGAACCUUAGGAAAGCAAGACGCGAGAGGCGGAAUUUAUUGCGAAAGUCAAUGAUUAUUUGUUCUAACUCCUCCUAGAGUGGAGUGAGUGACUGAAGGAGUUCCUGUUUUGGCCUGAGAAAUUAUGUUGGCUGCAGACGACAUAAUUUUGGAGGGAAACAGGGACCGCCUUCUAGACUUUCGUUGAUUGGGUCGAUAGUGUUGUGUUGUAUCUGACCCCGAUUUGUUCUUUUCAGCUAUGUAUCGUCGCCGAGGUCGACCGUCGUUGCGGGAGCGUGCCCAGUUGGCGCGGGAUCGUGUGGGAUCUCCCGAGAUGCCUGAGCAGGCAGAGGCGAGUGCACCCCCAGUUGUAGAGCAGAGGGCCCGACCGGAGGCGAGUGCAUCCCCAGAUUUGAGUGCACAGUUGGCUGCCCUGACUGAGGUGACGAGACAGCAGGGGGAGCUAUUGCAGAGGUUGUGUGAGAGGAUAGCUCAGCCACCGAGUUCUGUACCGAGGGCACCAGAGUCGCCAGUUCCACCCCCGACUACUCCAGUGACAGCACCAGCUGCAGCAGUUCCUCCAUCGGCAGCAGUUCCAGUAGCGCCAGUUGCGCCUGCUAGGGGGCCAGUACCGUUGACUGAGGCUGAGCAGGAGCGGUGGACGGAGAGGUUAGCUCGUUUUCGCCGAUUUGAUCCACCGAUCUUCGAUGGCAGAGGCACUGAGGCCUGGAUUGUUGAGGGAUGGGUCAGUGCGAUGGAGAAGUUAUUCGAGGAUCUGUUCGUUCCAGAGGGGGAGCAGGUACCCCUGGGAGUACACUGUCUAGCAGGUGAUGCUCAUGACUGGUGGCGGAGAACGAGGCGAGACCAGGGGCUAGUGGCGGCGCAGCUGAGUUGGGAUGAGUUCUGUGGAAUGCUGUUUGGGAUGUUCUUUCCCAACAGUGUGAAGCAGAAGCUCGAGGAGGAUUUGAGGAGGCUUCAGCAGGGAGAUCGCCCAGUGCAGGAGUACGUUCGGGAGUUUACUCGACUCCUGAACUGUGUACCAUUUGCGGCCAGAGACGAGGCGCACAGAGUAUACAUGUUCGAGCAGGGGCUGAGACCGGACAUCUUCAGGUUAGUGCGGGCGCAGAGGUCGAGGACCCUGGAUGCGUCCAUAGAGCAGGCCCUAUGGGUGGAGAGAGGUGAGGUGUCGCUGCAGGAGAGGACUCAGGCCGUGGGGCAGGGUCAGGACAGGAAGCGCCCCUUUCCAGAUGACGGAGGGCAGUCGAGCAGCAGACGUCCGCCGAGACCUCCACGAUCACGUUCUCAGGGUCGUGGGUCUUCGGGGCGUCAGCGUUCCAGGGGAUCCCGUCAGCAGGGGCAGACUCAGAGGACGCCACAGUGUGUGAUCUGCGGGGGACCACACUGGCCUCGGCAGUGCGAGCAGAGAGAGGGCAGGUGCUACGGAUGUGGUCAGCCGGGACACAUGAGGGCAGCUUGUCCCCGAGCAGCAUCUCCAGCACCGUCAUCAGCUUCGGCACCACCAGCACCACAGCAGUCUUACGGAGCAGCACCGAGCUACCGCCAGGAGGACAGAUCGUCUGUGCCGCGGUCGAGUGAGCGGCGACAGCAGGCUCCGAGUGGCAGGGUCUAUGCAGCUCAGGUGGAGGACUCUUCAGCAGCCGACCGAGUGGUGGCAGGUAUCACUUUGAUUUCUGGCAUUAGAGUUCGCACUCUUUUUGAUACCGGUGCAUCGCAUUCCUUUGUUAGCCGAGCAUUUGCAUUGUUGCAUGGUCUAGAGUUAGGAGCGUUGUCUCAGGCACGAGAGGUGCAGAUCCCCGACCAUGUCUUGCAGGUUACAGAGUGUUGUUGGUCCUGUCCGGUGCAGUUAGACUCUUGGAUCAUGCCCGCAGACCUGUUGGUGUUAGGGCAGCUGCAGGACUUCGACGUAGUGCUCGGUAUGGAUUGGCUGGCGCGGUACUAUGCUACGAUCGACUGUGGAGCGAGGACGGUGACGUUCCGCGAGCCAGGCCAGGAGGAGUUUACUUUCAGAGGCUGCAGGAGCACGCUGUUUGCCACCUGGAUAUCUUCGGCGAGGGCUCGACAGAUGCUGAGCAGUGGGUGUAUCGCUUUCCUAGCGACAGUUGUGGAGGUACCUACGGCGGCGCCGAGACUCGAGGACAUCCCAGUAGUCCGCGAGUUUUCGGAUGUGUUUCCCCCUGAGUUGACGACAUUGCCGCCGGAGAGGGAGAUUGAGUUUGUGAUUGAUGUAGUUCCUGGAACUGCACCAAUCUCAAAGGUACCUUACAGGAUGGCACCGGCAGAGCUGAGAGAGCUAAAGGCGCAACUUCAGGAUCUGAUGGAUAGAGGGUUUGUGAGACCCAGUGUGUCGCCUUGGGGAGCGCCGGUGUUAUUUGUAAAGAAGAAGGAUGGUUCGCUCAGGUUAUGUGUGGAUUACCGGGAGCUGAAUAAAGUGACCAUCAAGAACAAGUAUCCUCUGCCGCGCAUUGAUGAUCUAUUCGAUCAGCUGCAAGGAUCUUGUGUCUUUUCGAAGAUUGAUCUCCAGUCAGGUUACCACCAGCUGAGGGUGAGGGCCGAGGAUGUUCCCAAGACGGCUUUUCGGACUCGGUACGGGCAUUAUGAGUUCACGGUGAUGCCUUUUGGAUUGACGAAUGCCCCUGCCGCAUUCAUGGAUUUGAUGAACAGAGUGUUCAAGCCGUUCUUGGAUAGGUUUGUGGUAGUCUUCAUCGACGAUAUCCUGAUUUACUCCCGGAGUGAUGCUGAGCAUGAGGAGCACUUGAGGAUUGUGCUACAGCUUCUGCGCGAGAAGAAGUUGUAUGCCAAGUUAAAGAAGUGCGAGUUCUGGCUACGGGAGGUUGCUUUCUUGGGCCACGUGAUUUCAGCUGAGGGCGUAGCAGUGGACCCGAAGAAGAUUGAGGCGAUUCGAGAUUGGCCUAGACCGACGACGGUUACUGAGGUACGGAGCUUCCUGGGACUGGCAGGAUAUUACCGUCGGUUUGUGGAAGGCUUUGCGAAGCUUUCCACACCCCUCACACGCUUGACGCGGAAGGGGAUUCGUUUUGUCUGGAGCGACGACUGUCAGAGGAGCUUUGACGAGUUGAGAUUGAGGUUGAUGUCGGCUCCUAUCCUUGCCCUUCCUGUUAUGGGCGAAGGAUUUGUGAUCUACAGUGAUGCAUCGCACAGUGGACUUGGUUGCGUGCUGAUGCAGCAUGGUAGGGUGAUUGCUUAUGCUUCACGGCAGUUAAAGGAUUAUGAGAAGAAUUACCCUACGCAUGACUUGGAGCUUGCCGCGGUGGUUUUUGCUUUGAAGCUCUGGCGGCAUUACUUGUACGGCGAGCACUGCGAGAUUUUUACUGAUCAUAAAAGUCUCAAGUAUCUGUUCACCCAAAAGGAGUUGAAUUUGAGACAGCGCCGGUGGUUGGAGUUGCUGAAGGAUUAUGACAUCAGUAUCCAGUAUCAUCCCGGCAAGGCGAAUGUGGUGGCAGAUGCGUUGAGCAGGAAGGCAGUGCAGAGCUUGAGUAUGUUGAUCACUCGGCAGAGACCGUUACUCGAGGAGCUGAGACGGCUGGGACUCGAGGUAGUGUCCCCUGGAUUUACUGCGAGAUUGAUGUCUAUGAUCUUGCAGCCCACUCUGUUAGAUAGGAUUCGAGAGAAACAGAGUGGGGAUCCACACUUGUCGAGGAUUCGAGAGCAGCUUGAGAGGGGACAGGCCGAGGGCUUUGUUGUGGACAGUUCGGGAGUACUGCGGUACAGGGACCGACUGUGUGUACCUAUGGAUUCAGAGAUCCGAGAGGACAUCUUGAGAGAGGCUCACUGUUCACCUUAUACGGUUCACCCCGGUGGAACCAAAAUGUAUAAGGAUUUAAAGGCUCAGUUUUGGUGGAAUGGAAUGAAGAGGGACAUUGGUAGAUUUGUGGCUCAGUGUCUGACUUGUCAACAGGUAAAGGCCGAGCAUCAGGUACCUGCUGGCAAGCUUCAGAGUCUACCAGUGCCCGAGUGGAAAUGGGAGCAGAUCACGAUGGACUUUGUCGUCGGAUUGCCGAGAGCACAGGGUGGUUUUGAUGCGAUUUGGGUGAUAGUGGACAGACUGACCAAGUCUGCUCACUUCUUACCAGUGCAGACCACUUGGUCCAGAGAGAGACUCGCUCAGUUGUACUUGGAUGAGAUAGUGAGGUUGCAUGGCGUGCCCACUUCGAUAGUAUCCGACCGGGACCCGAGGUUCGUAUCGCACUUCUGGAGGAGUCUUCAGACGGCCUUGGGCACUCAGUUGCAGUUCAGCACAGCAUUUCACCCACAGACAGAUGGUCAGUCAGAGCGGACCAUUCAGACUCUAGAGGACAUGCUGAGGGCAUGUGUCUUGGACUUUGGAGGAGGGUGGUAUCGGCAUUUGAGACUGGUUGAGUUUGCGUACAACAACAGCUAUCAAGCGAGCAUCCGGAUGGCUCCGUUUGAGGCGUUGUAUGGACGCAGAUGUCGAUCCCCUUUGUUUUGGAGUGAUGUGGGUGAGAGGAGGACGCUUGGGCCUGAGAUUCUGAUUGAGGCUGAGGAAAAGGUAAAAGAGGCGCGACGGCACAUAUUAGCAGCCCAGAGUCGACAGAGGAGCUAUGCUGAUACCCGGAGACGAGACUUGGAGUUCCAGGUGGGAGAUCAUGUUUUUCUUAAAGUCUCGCCGUCCAGAGGGAUUCGCCGAUUUGGUGUACGUGGAAAGCUCAGUCCACGUUUUGUAGGCCCUUUCGAGGUAUUGGAGCGAGUCGGGCCAGUUGCUUACAGGAUUGCUCUACCACCACGGCUAGCCGGCAUUCAUGAUGUGUUCCACGUCUCGGCUUUGAGGAAAUAUGUGUUCGACCCCUCCCACGUGAUCGACUUCACUCCGCUUGAGAUUGGCGAGGACCUGAGCUACGAGGAGCGACCGGUGCGGAUUCUGGCUCGUGAGUCGAGGGAAUUGCGCAACCGGGUCAUACCCUUUGUAAAGGUGCAGUGGAGUAAUCACGAGGAGCGGGAGGCGACUUGGGAGCCGGAGGCGGUGAUGAAGGAGUCCUACCCCUACCUGUUUGAGGCCCUGGAUUGAGGUAUGUGUACAGUUUCGCGGACGAAACUUUUUGUAGUGGGGGAGGAUGUAGUGUUCCUGAGCUUUGGAUAGGAUUGGCUUCAGUAUUAUAGACUGGUCGACAUCUCUGGAGAGUGUCGGACUGAGUCGGAGUCAAUUCUGCACGAAUUGGAUGCAGAAUUGGACUCGGCGCACUCAAAUAAGCAAAACUGGAGUUUUGCCAGAUUCGGGCGCCCAGAACAUUGUUAGGGUCGCCCAGAAACGAGUGUUGAAUUUAACUGAAACUGGAAGCCAAUUCGGAUCCCAUGUUCCGGGCGCCCAGAAGUGGGUCCGGAAAUUUCACCUCGUGAAUAUCGCUUGCUUCGACGCGUGGCAGGGCGGUAGGUGAGUUCCGCCGGUGCCGUUUACGGGCGCAGCACACCGCGGGCGGAGAGUCCGAGGGGCCCAUUUUGUGCAGGCCGGAUGUUCUGGUCGCCCAGAACAUGGUUCCGGGCGCCCAGAAACGCCCGUUUCUGCAGGGGCACUGGAUUGCGGCUAUUUUUCCUGGGGCUUAUCUGAUCUAUCCAGCAGCCUAUAAAUAGCUGAGAAGCGCCCCCUUUGAGCUCUUUUACCUGUUCUUCACAGAGGACUUAGAUUUUACUCCCAAAUCCCUCAAAUCUUUCCAAUUUGCAUCAAGAUCCACCUCUCCAAGAAUUGCAAGGUGCUGAUUUUGCAGUUCUUCAGCGACGACCUCCAGUGUUUUGGCUCGUGCGUGACGUAGGAAGGUCGGAUUUCAACGAAACUUGGUUUGCUGGAUUCUUGACUUCCAGAGGAAUCCACGAAGCCCUAAUUUGCAGAAUUUGGUGAAGGUUAGCUCAGUCGAACUCAGGUUUUCCUCUGCUGUUGUUGCUUUGGACAGAAUUUGCCAAUUUUUGAUGUUUUCUUGGGGUGAACUUGGGAAGCAGGGGCUUUGUGGAGUUGAGUUAUUUUCCCUAUCACCCAGUACUGGAAUUGGGACCCUCUCCACCUGAUUUGGAGUUCGUUUGGUGAGUUUUGACAUUGGAAUUGAGAUAUUUAAGCUUAAAUGCUGUUUUGCUGAAAUUCAUCGUCGACUGUUAGUAUUUCAGCUCGUACUCGACGUAGGAGCAUCGGAUUUCGUCGAGACUUGAUUCGUUGGUUUCGGGACUGCGAGAAGAAUCCACGAAGUCCUUACUUGUGGAUUUUGGUGAAGGUUAGCUUGGUCGAAACCCUUCUCUUCUCUGCUGCUGUGUACUUGGACUGAAUUGUGGAUUUUGAUGAUUUUUAUUGGAUUUUUGGGUGCAUUGUAAAUCCAGAUCUUAAGGGGCUUUGUUGCUGGUUUGAAGAGGUUUCCAGCAGUGUUGCUUGAGGAUCCGAGACCCUAUUGCUGCCAGGAAUUGCAUUAGAGGUGGGUGUUUCAUCGGUUUCGCUCCUAAGUGCAUGUUAGUCAACGUGUAUAGUUCGAGUGUUGUAAAUCAUGCUUUAAUUCAUCGAUUAGCAUUUUGAAUGUAAUAUGAAUGUAGAAGCAUGCUGAAAUGAAUAUUUAAAUUAUACAUGUUGGACUUGAAAUUUGACUUAGGAGAAAACCUGCGUUUUGACCCGUCAUAUGCUUAAACUACCAGAUUUAGCUCUAGGAGCCGUGUUCGAUUGUAUCGUUGCCGAGUCAGUGCAAUGGAUACCUUGGGUAGUUUAGAAUGUAUUUACACUCGUGCUGGUUCGCCGAGUGAAUUUUUGCAGGGUCGUUCAGGCCGUUUCGGACUGUUGGGUGCCGUCAGAGUUGACGGUGGACCGUAUCGCCUUUUUGGCGUCAGAUUGUGCCGAGGGCACGUUACCUGUUGGUUGUUAGACCAGUUUAAGUCGAUUACUUGACUUUGGCUAGUUGGAGCCUGAUUGAGCUCGACAGAGAUACGCUGCAUACUCGGUUGGGUAGCGCCCACGAGUGCCACUCCGGAGUCAGGCUUUGUGCUUUCGCGUUGGUGUCGCUCAUGCCAGUUGGACUUGCUCUCCACGGACCAGUUAGUGUGGAUAGAGCCCGAUAGUCGCAACGGGGCAGGGACGGGUGUGUUCACAGUCCCAGGGACGGGUAUGUCUACAGUCCCGAUUGGAUUGGGUCAGAUUUGACAUUUCCUACAGUUGGUUAGUGUAGAGCAUGAUAGUAUAGUGAUUUGUAGCGGUUGAGUUUGUUUCCUGCUUUUCCUACUAUUCUUGCUCCCUCCUGUAGACUUAGUGGGUGGACCGAUGUUGUUUUGGGCGGUACCCACUGAGGACUACUUGUUUUUACAGUAGUUCUCACGCCCAGUUGUUACCUAUGUUUUUGCAGAGCCACAGGUUCCGGCUGCUGCACCGUCCGCGGAUCAGGAUCGAGGCAAGGGCGUUGCGAGUUAGAGCCCUACCCGACGUGCUGAGCUAGAGGUGCUCCUACUGCAGGUAGAUGUUUUGUUUCGAGUUUAUGUACAUAGUGGACUUAACUCGCCAGUGCGAGUAGCUUUGUAUUUUGGAUCUGGA